GAAGGUAGGUCCUUCGACAGGGAUUGAACAGGCAAACCUGUCAAACAACCUUAAUGCUGCUGUGAUUAAGAGUCGUGGUAGUGAGCGAUUAAGGAAAAGGCUGCACAAGCAGUCAUG
rfam:Peptoclostridium acidaminophilum DSM 3953 chromosome, complete genome.